rnacentral:lncRNA from 1 species
AUUGUAUGACAUUGUUUUUUCCCUAAAGGUUGUAGACCGAGACACACCAAUGUUCCAUUUCUUACAAACUUUGUUUUGGAGGUUAAUUAGAUUAAUAUUUGGAUUUUCUUUUAUGGUCUUCUCUAACCUGCCACUUAACCAUUUGGAAGUCACUAAACAGAUAUUAAAUUAUUUGUUGUAUGUAUGGGUACUGAUAGUCUUCCUUAACUACCAUGUACUUUGGCUAGCCUUAUAUGCACAAUAAGCAUACCAUGGACAUUUCCCUUUUGCCCCACAACAUUUCAUGCAAACUCUUCUUUUGUCAAUUUUAAAUACCUUCAAUUUCCUGUCAUUCUCUACACUAUAGGUUCUUAUUGCUUUUGUGAAAUCUUUUUUUUUUCAGUGAAGUAUGUCCCCACUUCCUACUUAUAUUAAUCCAUAGUUUUGGGCAUUGAGAAAAUCCCAAAAUUUCCAUAACGCUCUCUAUCAUCAUCUGUUGAAUCACUUAGUACAAGACUGUUUAAAGUUUCAUAUUCCCAUUCAAUGUCAGAUAAAGCCCUUGGUCCAUGCUGGAAUGAAGUAGAAGACCCACUUGGUCCACCCACUUCUACUUGGUCACUACCUUCAAAUAUAUCAUGUUCCACUUGAUCUCCAUGGAUCGUAACCUCGACAAGAUCAUUUUCACUCAAUACAUCAUCCUCUUCGGACCCAUGCCAACUUCUAACAUCAUACUCAUCAUGUCCCCCAACCUCUACCUCGACCUCUGCAUCCACACCAUCAUCCUCUCCUCCCUCAAAACAAUAGCAUCAUCCUCUCCCUCCUCAUAUGCCUCCACACCAACAUCAAUGUCACCCUCCCCUAAUAAAUCACCAACAACCUCUCUCUCACCCACUGCCUACACACCAACAUCAUUAUGACCCUUCCUCGAAACAGGACCAUCAUCCUCUUCCUCUCGUUCUAUCUCAAUUUUGGGUACACCAACCUCUAUCUCAACUUUAGGUUCACCACCCUCUCUCUCAACUUUUGCAUCACCACUAUGACUCUCAACUUGGGGUUCACCAUUAUGUCUCUCAACUUAGGGUUCACCACUAUGUCUCUCAACUUUAGCUUCACCACUAUGACUCUCAACUUGGGGUUUACUGAUGAAGGUUGAAAAACA